rnacentral:rRNA from 1 species
AGUAACACGUGGGUAACCUGCCUUAUAGUGGGGGAUAGCCUUUCGAAAGGAAGAUUAAUACCGCAUAAGAUUGUAGUAUCGCAUGAUAUAGCAAUUAAAGGAGCAAUUCGCUAUAAGAUGGACCCGCGUCGCAUUAGCUAGUUGGUGAGGUAAUGGCUCACCAAGGCGACGAUGCGUAGCCGACCUGAGAGGGUGAUCGGCCACAUUGGGACUGAGACACGGCCCAGACUCCUACGGGAGAGCAUG